GUUAGCUCAGUCGGUAGAGCAUUUCACUUUUAAUGAAGGGGUCGCUGGUUCGAGUCCAGCA
rnacentral:tRNA from 2 species